AUGGCCGACGCAGGUCAAAGUGUAGUGCCUGUUCUUAGCAGCUUAGUAUCCGAUACGGGUUGUACUUGGACCCAAUAUAAUAAACUUAUUUUUGCAAGUUGGCGGAGUGCUUGAAGCCUGCUUCGCCUCCGCUGCGGGUCGGCCGGGUAUUGCACGAUCGUCGGGAUUUUUGGUCUACGGACA